rnacentral:tRNA from 11 species
GGGCGUUAGCUCAGUUGGUAGAGCAGCGGACUCUUAAUCCGUAGGUCGAGUGUUCGAGUCACUCACGCCCCACCA